AUACGGAGGAUGCAAGCGUUAUCCGGAUUUAUUGGGUUUAAAGGGUGCGUAGGCUGUUCGGAAAGUCAGGGGUGAAAGCCCGGCGCCUAACGCCGGAACUGCCUUUGAUACUUCCGAGCUGGAAUACGGAUGCCGUGGGAGGAAUGAGUAGUGUAGCGGUGAAAUGCAUAGAUAUUACUCAGAACACCGAUUGCGAAGGCAUCUCACGAAUCCGUCAUUGACGCUGAGGCACGAAAGCGUGGGGAUCAAACAGGAUUAGAUACCCUGGUAGUCCACGCAGUAAACGAUGAUGACUAACCGUCGGCGAUACACAGUCGGUGGCCAAGCGAAAGCGAUAAGUCAUCCACCUGGGGAGUACGUUCGCAAGAAUGAAACUUAAAGGAAUUGACGGGG
rnacentral:rRNA from 1 species